rnacentral:rRNA from 1 species
AUUGAACGCUGGCGGCGUGCCUAACACAUGCAAGUCGAGCGGUAACAGGUGUAGCAAUACAUGCUGACGAGCGGCGAACGGGUGAGUAAUGCUUCGGAAUCUACCCAAUGGUGGGAAUAACCAGCCGAAAGGUUGGCUAAUACCGCAUACGUCCCACGGGAGAAAGCAGGGGAUCGCAAGACCUUGCGCCAAUCGAUGAGCCGAAGUCGGAUUAGCUAGUUGGAGGGUAACGGCCUACCAAGGCGACGAUCCGUAGCUGGUCUGAGAGGACGACCAGCCACACUGGGACUGAGACACGGCCCAGACUCCUACGGGAGGCAGCAGUGGGGAAUAUUGGACAAUGGGGGAAACCCUGAUCCAGCGACGCCGCGUGUGUGAAGAAGGCCUGC